UACGUAGGGGGCAAGCGUUGUCCGGAAUUAUUGGGCGUAAAGAGCGCGUAGGCGGUCCGGUAAGUCGGUUGUGAAAGUCGGGGGCUCAACCCUCGGAUGCCGAUCGAUACUGUCGGGCUAGAGUCCGGAAGAGGCGAGUGGAAUUCCUGGUGUAGCGGUGAAAUGCGUAGAUAUCGUAAGGAAGACCAGUGGCGAAGGCGGGUCUCUGGACAGUUCCUGACGCUGAGGCACGAAGGCCAGGGGAGCAAACGGG
rnacentral:rRNA from 1 species